AGGAAAGGAGAGAAGAGGAGAGACGAGACGAGAGGAGACGAGAAUAGAAGAGGAGCGGAGAGGAGAGAAGAGGAGAACGGAUCAAGGAUCAAGGAUCAAGGAAUCGUUUGACGACCGAUCGGUACGACAGCGAGCGGCUUCUUCUUCCGUGCGAAGCGAAGUGUGGAAGACGACGACGUGUUCAGGAGUGAACGAACGGAAGCCGAUCUUCUCGACUAAAUCACAUGGCUUAUUUGAUGAACAUCAAAACGAAAAUCACGCGUCUCCGAAACUUCGUUUGAAGGAAGGAUUGAAUACAUAAAAAUAGACAGGCAGCUAAUAGAAAAAGGAAAAUGAAAUCAAAUAUAUUUCUACUAAUGACAACCUUUUCAAAAAAAUCUCUUCUUUAACUCGACGGCUUUCAGUUCGGUCGCUCUUUGCCUUAACUGUUACCUCGAGAAUAUCUUUCGGACACGAGAUCACGUAUAUAGAUUAGUGUCAUCGUAAUCGUAUUAAAGAAAUCAAGAAAAAAGAAAAAAAAGAAGGAGGCGAAAACUUAACGUAGCCAAAUUGGAAUCCAGUUUCAAUCCAGAGUAAAAAAAUAAAGAGAAAAAGAAAAUGAAAAAACUAAACUUUGAAACUAAAACCUCGAAAUAUGCGAAGAGAUAACGAAGCAAAGGAAGAAAGAAAGAAAAAAAAAGAAAAGAAAAGUGCAGUUAGAGACGCUGUAUGUUGGAAAACGAAGAAUAAAAAAAUGUGGUAUGAAAAGGUCUUAGAAAAGUGUCCAAGGACGGAUGGGAGGAGUGGAGAAGGGAUUGGAUAUAAUGUAUUUCGAGAUAUAUAAAAUCGUACCAAUUAAGAAAGAGUUAAACGCUUAUUAACUGAGGAUAAGAAAUGUGAGAAAAAGAAUGGAAAUAUCAAGAGAGA